AGAGUUUGAUCCUGGCUCAGGAUGAACGCUAGCGACAGGCUUAACACAUGCAAGUCGAGGGGCAGCACAGGUAGCAAUACCGGGUGGCGACCGGCGCACGGGUGAGUAACGCGUAUGCAACUUGCCUAUCAGAGGGGGAUAACCCGGCGAAAGUCGGACUAAUACCGCAUGAAGCAGGGGCCCCGCAUGGGGAUAUUUGCUAAAGAUUCAUCGCUGAUAGAUAGGCAUGCGUUCCAUUAGGCAGUUGGCGGG
rnacentral:rRNA from 1 species